ACGGGGUGCAGCAGGCGCGAAAACUUUGCAAUAAGCGAAAGCUUGACAGGGCUAUCCCGAGUGCCAUCCGCUGAGGAAGGCUUUUACCCAGUCUAGUAAGCUGGGGGAAUAAGGAGAGGGCAAGUCUGGUGUCAGCCGCCGCGGUAAUACCAGCUCUCCGAGUGGUGUGGAUGUUUAUUGGGCCUAAAGCAUCCGUAGCUGGCUGAGUUAGUCCCCUGUUAAAUCCACCGAAUCAAUCGUUGGAUUGCGGGGGAUACUGCUCGGCUAGGGGGCGGGAGAGGCCGUCGGUAUUCUUGGAGUAGGGGUGAAAUCCUAUAAUCCUUGGGGGACCACCUGUGGCGAAGGCGUCUCACCAGAACGGCUCCGACAGUGAGGGACGAAAGCUGGGGGAGCAAACCGGAUUAGAUACCCGGGUAGUCCCAGCUGUAAACGAUGCGCGUUAGGUGUAUCGGUGACCACGAGUCACCGAGGUGCCGAAGAGAAAUCGUGAAACGUGCCGCCUGGGAAGUACGGUCGCAAGGCUGAAACUUAAAGGAAUUGGCGGGGGAGCAC
rnacentral:rRNA from 1 species